rnacentral:rRNA from 1 species
UGGGGAAUAUUGGACAAUGGGCGAAAGCCUGAUCCAGCCAUGCCGCGUGUGUGAAGAAGGUCUUCGGAUUGUAAAGCACUUUAAGUUGGGAGGAAGGGUUGUAGAUUAAUACUCUGCAAUUUUGACGUUACCGACAGAAUAAGCACCGGCUAACUCUGUGCCAGCAGCCGCGGUAAUACAGAGGGUGCAAGCGUUAAUCGGAAUUACUGGGCGUAAAGCGCGCGUAGGUGGUUUGUUAAGUUGGAUGUGAAAUCCCCGGGUUCAACCUGGGAACUGCAUUCAAAACUGACUGACUAGAGUAUGGUAGAGGGUGGUGGAAUUUCCUGUGUAGCGGUGAAAUGCGUAGAUAUAGGAAGGAACACCAGUGGCGAAGGCGACCACCUGGACUAAUACUGACACUGAGGUGCGAAAGCGUGGGGAGCAAACA